GCGGUGGUGGUUCGGUGGUAGGAUUCUUGCCUUCCAUGCUGGAGACCCAGGUUCAAUUCCCAGCCAAUGCA
rnacentral:tRNA from 1 species